AGGAGACCAGGGAGCUGUGAAGAUCUCCAGCCAAGGUCCGUGGCAAUAGAGAAGCCAACCCUUCUGCAUUCUUGGAACCAGCUUUGGGGGUUUACCAGCUGAACAGCCAGGCUGGACUCACGUGGCCUCAGACUUGCUAUAUAGCCAAGGAUUACCUUGAACUUGCUGAACCUGUUGGAAGACCAAAGCUCACUUGUGUGUUCUGCAAAAGCCCCUCUAACUCAAGUCUGUUCUUCAAGCACCCUUCAAAUGCUGGGACUGCAGAAAACCAAGGAAUGUCAGAAGCUACACCCAUAAAAUCUUACCAACAUGACUGUCUAAACAUGAGCUGAACACGAAAGGACAACUUCAUUAGACAUGAUAACGUGGAUGGUCCAUGAUGAGCGGAG